GCCGGGGUAGCUCAGGUGGUUAGCAGCGCGUGACUCAUAAUCGCGAGGUCGCGGGUUCGAGUCCCGCCCCCGGCACCA
rnacentral:tRNA from 2 species